CACCCCAAUAAAAAUUCCAAAAACUAUUGACGAACACUAAUCAUUUCUUCUUAUGGAUACUAAGAAACUAAAGGCCAAGGAGCUGAAGCGAAUUUCUCAAAGUCACCCAGCUUUUAAAUGAUGGAGCUGGAACCAAGGCUGCUGGUAUUUGGCUAAGCAUUCAGCGUUACCGGCUCCCACUAUUCCAGACAGAGGCACAGAAGCGCAGGAUGUCAGAGUGAUUACGGACCCUGGAAUACGUUUAGCCCAUCAGUUUUCUAAAGCACAGAUGAAUGAUGGAAGAAGCCUUGAAUCUUAGCUUGAAUCCUGGCACUACGUUGCUAUGCAGCUAUAGCCUCGUUAGCCUUCAGUCUCCUCAGAAGACGAGUUGCACUAGGUGAUGGUUGUGGGUAUCAGUUAAUUUUGACUGCCCAAGGUCAGUUGUUUUGGUAACAGUAUCACACUAACCCAUGGAGAACCUCCUUUCCCUCAAUCUCUGUCAGUGGGUGUGGGUGGGACUAGCCCCUCGGCUCAGAGUGGGCGUGGCUCCCAGGAUUUCGAGUCAGCGUCACAGUGAAUGGUCAGGAAGUCUACCUGACCGAGUUUCCGCCAGUGUGAACACAGUGGGGCUUUUCUUCCUCUCCACCGGGGUGGUUUAGCUGGGAGGCCGUGAGCCUGUGGCUGCUGAGGCUCAUGUGAAGAAGAUGUGCCUAAAAGUAAAGCCACAUAAAGGAAAGGAGAGCUGCAGGAUGGAGAGACAGAGUCUUAACGCCACUCCCUCUUUCUAUUUAAGCUAUUUCAGAGUGAAGAUCCAAAAAAAUGAUGGAUCUGAACUAGCCUGCUAUACUCUGGUUAACUUCUGCACACUUAAAUCAGAGAAGAAUUUGAAACUAACAACUGAAAUUUACCUUUAACGUAAUCAAACAAGAAAUACAUAGCCAGUGCCCACAAUGUUCAUUGCCAUUCUAGAUGACUGGCUGUCCAGAUCAAGUAGAACGUGGCCCUGCCAUCAAGGAAAUUACUAUUUAGUUGGUGAGGUACGACAAGCAUGCAAACAACGAUGAGGGAUGAUAGAAACUGGAUUAUAAUUAAUGGCUUAAUUAUGAAACAUAAACUGUGACUAUUGUAGGAAGACAGAAGAGGGUAGACUGCAAGGGAGAUGCAAAGCCUUUUAACGGACUUGAAUUACGCCUUGUACAUGAAAAUAAGAUUGGAUGAAUGGCAUGAAGUCCUAUGUGGAUUACGUUUGCCCAAGUUUAAUUACCACGGUAAUCUAACUAUCUCUGUUGUGAAAUUAUCAGAAAAAACCUAUCUCUUGCUUCAGAAUUGAGCUAUACUGAAGAUUUCAGGAGUGAGUUUUGACUCCAGCUGAUUGUGACCGAUCAUUGUAGAAAUAGAAGUGUUGUGGUAAGAAUUCUAUAACUAGCAAAGUUGUUUUUAAUAUGUG
rnacentral:lncRNA from 1 species